AACGAACGCUGGCGGCACGCCUAACACAUGCAAGUCGAACGAGAUAUUUGUUUUCGGAUAAGUAUUUAGUGGCGGACGGGUGAGUAACGCGUGGGAACUUGCCUUGCAGUAUGGGAUAACUUUCGGAAACGAAAGGUAAUACCGUAUACGCCCUUUGGGGGAAAGAUUUAUCGCUGUAAGAUGGGCCCGCGUUAGAUUAGGUAGUUGGUAGGGUAAAGGCCUACCAAGCCGAUGAUCUAUAGCUGGUUUGAGAGGAUGAUCAGCCACACUGGGACUGAGACACGGCCCAG
rnacentral:rRNA from 1 species